AAUACUAAGAAAAUUUUCAGUUAUUCAUUGGUGUACAAAGUCAACCUAUGCAAUGUAUGUUUUGUGAAAAUACCAUCUUUUCUUAUCAGAAGUGUGCAUCGAUGGUUUUUCAUUGGCAAAAAUAUUUUAGAUACGAAACUAUGACCUUGGUGUAGGAAGUCAACUUAUAGAUAUAUGUUUGUGAAAAUACCAUCUUUUCUUAUUAUAAGUGUGCAUCGAUGGGUUUUUUAUCGGCAACAAUAUUUUAGAUACUAAACUAAAUGAUGUUACCUGAAUAAUUUUUUCAGGACCUUAUUCUGCAAGAUUAAACUGGGAAAUCUUCGGGGGUCAUCGCCGUGAUGGUGGUAUGUCACUCUUCCCACCAACAAGGGAUAUCGGACAAGGAGUUUUGCUUACUACACUUCUGAAACAUUUGCGUAAGGGCCGUGUUGGAGGCGGAGUGGAGCUAAAAACAAAGACGACCAUUGUUUCCAUCCGCAAGUGUAUCUAUGUCUUUCGAUUUCUAAUAGUAGACGAGGGGUGUUUGAUUGAAGGAGAUUAAUGAGAGAAAAUGUGACAGAUUGUAUACCGCAAUGAUAUUAGAAACCAUACUCAUGGUGCCAGAUGGGAGGGACAAAAGAAAUACAUUCACAUUGGUCCAAACUUAGCAUACAUUGUGCUCUAUGCAUUUGACGAAAUAUAGCAACUCAUAUGCACACAUA